rnacentral:rRNA from 1 species
CUUAGCGGCGGACGGGUGAGUAACGCGUGGGUAACCUGCCUUACACUGGGGGAUAACAGUUAGAAAUGACUGCUAAUACCGCAUAAGCGCACAGGGCCGCAUGGUCUGGUGUGAAAAACUCCGGUGGUGUAAGAUGGACCCGCGUCUGAUUAGGUAGUUGGUGGGGUAACGGCCCACCAAGCCGACGAUCAGUAGCCGACCUGAGAGGGUGACCGGCCACAUUGGGACUGAGACACGGCUCAA